rnacentral:lncRNA from 1 species
GAGCUUAUUUUCUAAUAUGCGUAAGCAGUGCAUGCUUAGAUGAGAAUUACAAGACAUGCUCAUUUUGAUUUAGGUUUUUGGCUCAAGCUAUAUGAUCAAUCUUAUGCAAUCAUAAUAUUUCUAAUUUAGGUUUUUGUCUUUUUAAUUUUUACAUAAUGUAUUUAACAGUUGCUAAGUCUACAGCUGCACACAAAGCAGGCCUAGAAAAAGGUUUGUUACCAGGGUGGGAUAUGGAUGCUUACUUCUACAGUGAGGGUGAGAAUGGUGAAACGAGUGAAGGUACUAGCAAGCAUCAUGUUCCCCAUGUAUUGCUGUUUAUGUGAGACUGUAUUUGACAACUGGCCUGAUUGCUGCCCUUCCAAGAUUCUUCAGGAGUCUACAAUUGUUGUUUCUCAACAUGAUGAUCAAAAAGAUCCCCCUGCCACCGCCGACGACAAGUUUUCCUAAUUCUAAAUCUGUUUCCUGUAUGAAUGGUGUGCGAGGAUUCAUUAAACGAGUGUAUCUUUGGCUCUUUGCUAUGUAAAAACAAUUCCCUUUGAUCUACAUAAUUUGAAGCUGAAGGAGAACAUGAACUCACUUCUUCAGUUUGUUUAACGUUUUGUUACUAAACAUUCAUACGCGCCGGUUUUGAUGAGUUUAUCGAGCUUAAUCGGCACUUAUGUCAGCACUUAAGUCAUUUGGUCUCAUAGAAUAUAGGGACAAAAACCCCAGACAAUUGAAGCUGUCCAUCAGAAGAACAGUGUGAUUCUAGCGUUCUAUUCAAAGUGAUGUGGGGGACAAAAACAAAUUAAGAACAUUACUUCCUCUUAAAAACCAAGGGGCCGCUUCUGUUGCGGACCUCUGAAUUGCGGACCAUUUACCGACUUUCAAAACGUAUCCGUUGGAUUACAUGAGCGGCCUACAAGUUGAUGAAUACAACUCCUUCCCGUGUGGUCACAUGCAUCGGAACACAAUCCUCCCCCUCUCUCUCUCUUCAGCGCAUCAGAGCUCCCUUUGAUCUACAUAAUUUGAAGAUGAAGGAGAACAUGAACUCACUUCUUCAGUUUGUUUAACGUUUUGUUACUAAACAUUCAUACCGCGGGUUCUGAUGAGUUUAUCGAGUUUAAUCGGCACUUAUGUCAGCACUUAAGUCAUUUGGUCUCACAGAACAUAGGGACAAAAACCAGUGUGAUUCUAGCGUUCUAUUCAAAGUGAUGUGGGGGACAAGAACAAAUUAAGAACAUUACUUCCUCUUAAAAACCAAGGGGCCGCUUCUGUUGCGGACCUCUGAAUUGCGGACCAUUUACGGACUUUCAAAACAUGUCCGUUGGAUUACAUGAGCGGCCUACAAGUUGAUGAGUACAACUCCUUCCCGUGUGGUCACAUGCAUCGGAACACAAUCCUCCCCCUCUCUCUCUCUUCAGCGCAUUAGAGCUCCCAACCCAAACACCACCAAAAUCCCAAAAUGACCGAUCACCACCACCACCACCGCCGCCGCCGCCCCCACCGUCUCUCUCUCCCUCAACGCCUCACCACCCCCACCACCUUCGCCUCCACCACUCCCACCACUUCCCGCCAAUACCCACUUUACCCUUUCACCCCCUCCUCCGCCACUCCCUCC